CCUACGGGAGGCAGCAGUGGGGAAUAUUGGGCAAUGGACGCAAGUCUGACCCAGCAACGCCGCGUGAAGGAAGAAGGCUUUCGGGUUGUAAACUUCUUUUAAGGGGGAAGAGCAGAAGACGGUACCCCUUGAAUAAGCCACGGCUAACUACGUGCCAGCAGCCGCGGUAAUACGUAGGUGGCAAGCGUUGUCCGGAUUUACUGGGAGUAAAGGGCGUGCAGCCGGAGAGACAAGUCAGAUGUGAAAUCAACGGGCUCAACCCGUGAACUGCAUUUGAAACUGUUUCCCUGGAGUGUCGGAGAGGUAAUCGGAAUUCCGUGUGUAGCGGUGAAAUGCGUAGAUAUAAGGAAGAACACCAGCGGCGAAGGCGGAUUACUGGACGAUAACUGACGGUGAGGCGCGAAAGCGUGGGGAGCAAACGGGAUUAGAUACCCGGGUAGUC
rnacentral:rRNA from 1 species